rnacentral:rRNA from 1 species
AGAGUUUGAUCAUGGCUCAGAUUGAACGCUGGCGGCAGGCCUAACACAUGCAAGUCGAACGGUAACAGGAAACAGCUUGCUGUUUCGCUGACGAGUGGCGGACGGGUGAGUAAUGUCUGGGAAAACUGCCUGAUGGAGGGGGAUAACUACUGGAAACGGUAGCUAAUACCGCAUAACGUCGCAAGACCAAAGAGGGGGACCUUCGGGCCUCUUGCCAUCAGAUGUGCCCAGAUGGGAUUAGCUAGUAGGUGGGGUAACGGCUCACCUAGGCGACGAUCCCUAGCUGGUCUGAGAGGAUGACCAGCCACACUGGAACUGAGACACGGUCCAGACUCCUACGGGAGGCAGCAGUGGGGAAUAUUGCACAAUGGGCGCAAGCCUGAUGCAGCCAUGCCGCGUGUAUGAAGAAGGCCUUCGGGUUGUAAAGUACUUUCAGCGGGGAGGAAGGGAGUAAAGUUAAUACCUUUGCUCAUUGACGUUACCCGCAGAAGAAGCACCGGCUAACUCCGUGCCAGCAGCCGCGGUAAUACGGAGGGUGCAAGCGUUAAUCGGAAUUACUGGGCGUAAAGCGCACGCAGGCGGUUUGUUAAGUCAGAUGUGAAAUCCCCGGGCUCAACCUGGGAACUGCAUCUGAUACUGGCAAGCUUGAGUCUCGUAGAGGGGGGUAGAAUUCCAGGUGUAGCGGUGAAAUGCGUAGAGAUCUGGAGGAAUACCGGUGGCGAAGGCGGCCCCCUGGACGAAGACUGACGCUCAGGUGCGAAAGCGUGGGGAGCAAACAGGAUUAGAUACCCUGGUAGUCCACGCCGUAAACGAUGUCGACUUGGAGGUUGUGCCCUUGAGGCGUGGCUUCCGGAGCUAACGCGUUAAGUCGACCGCCUGGGGAGUACGGCCGCAAGGUUAAAACUCAAAUGAAUUGACGGGGGCCCGCACAAGCGGUGGAGCAUGUGGUUUAAUUCGAUGCAACGCGAAGAACCUUACCUGGUCUUGACAUCCACGGAAGUUUUCAGAGAUGAGAAUGUACCUUCGGGAACCGUGAGACAGGUGCUGCAUGGCUGUCGUCAGCUCGUGUUGUGAAAUGUUGGGUUAAGUCCCGCAACGAGCGCAACCCUUAUCCUUUGUUGCCAGCGGUCCGGCCGGGAACUCAAAGGAGACUGCCAGUGAUAAACUGGAGGAAGGUGGGGAUGACGUCAAGUCAUCAUGGCCCUUACGACCAGGGCUACACGCGUGCUACAAUGGCGCAUACAAAGAGAAGCGACCUCGCGAGAGCAAGCGGACCUCAUAAAGUGCGUCGUAGUCCGGAUUGGAGUCUGCAACUCGACUCCAUGAAGUCGGAAUCGCUAGUAAUCGUGGAUCAGAAUGCCACGGUGAAUACGUUCCCGGGCCUUGUACACACCGCCCGUCACACCAUGGGAGUGGGUUGCAAAAGAAGUAGGUAGCUUAACCUUCGGGAGGGCGCUUACCACUUUGUGAUUCAUGACUGGGGUGAAGUCGUAACAAGGUAACCGUAGGGGAACCUGCGGUUG